rnacentral:lncRNA from 1 species
AACCUUGCAAGUGUAUUGUGUCUCCCCUUCAGAGCCAUUAACGGAUACUGAUAAACCAUGAAGCAACAAGUUUUUGCACCAUGUGAUUGUAAUCAAGCGACACUGAUCAGAAAUCUUUGUUCUAUACACUGACAUGUAUACACUUUGACCUGAACGAGUCACUGCUCCUUGUUCAUCACUUAACUUCUCUGUAGAAGAAAAACAAGCAGGAAUCCCUAUUGAAUCUUGCAUAGUUAUAAAGUAUGAUGAACUUUGAGAGAGUAGAGAUGAGAAGAUGGAAAUAAUAAUAGGAAGUAGUUUUUUUAUUUUACUUGAAGAUGAAGGAAGUGAGAUUUUGAGAGUGAGAGAUCUUAG